rnacentral:rRNA from 1 species
GACGAACGCUGGCGGCGUGCUUAACACAUGCAAGUCGAACGGAAAGGCCCUGCUUUUGUGGGGUGCUCGAGUGGCGAACGGGUGAGUAACACGUGAGUAACCUGCCCUUGACUUUGGGAUAACUUCAGGAAACUGGGGCUAAUACCGGAUAGGAGCUCCUGCUGCAUGGUGGGGGUUGGAAAGUUUCGGCGUUUGGGGAUGGACUCGCGGCUUAUCAGCUUGUUGGUGGGGUAGUGGCUUACCAAGGCUUUGACGGGUAGCCGGCCUGAGAGGGUGACCGGCCACAUUGGGACUGAGAUACGGCCCAGACUCCUACGGGAGGCAGCAGUGGGGAAUAUUGCACAAUGGGCGGAAGCCUGAUGCAGCAACGCCGCGUGCGGGAUGACGGCCUUCGGGUUAUAAACCGCUUUCGCCUGUGACGAAGCGUGAGUGACGGUAAUGGGUAAAGAAGCACCGGCUAACUACGUG